rnacentral:rRNA from 1 species
UACAGGGGGCUCGAGCGUUAGUCGGAAUCACUGGGCUUAAAGGGUGCGUAGGCGGUCCGCCAAGUGCUUUGUGAAAUCCCCGAGCUCAACUCGGGAACUGCAGGGCAAACUGGAGGACUUGAAGCAGGUAGGGGCUGGAAGAACAGUAGGUGUAGCAGUGAAAUGCGUAGAUAUCAGGAGGAAUACCGAUGGCGAAGGCAGGUCUCUGGGCUGACACUGACGCUCAUGCACGAAAGCGUGGGGAGCAAACAGG